rnacentral:lncRNA from 1 species
CUCGCUAUCAGUGGACCUUUCUCCGUCAGACAGGGUCGGUCUUGGCAGGUCUCUGGAUCCAUCACUAUUGACUGUCAAAUCUCUAUAAAUGAUUUAACGUGCGUGUGUGUGUGUGUGUGUGUGUGUGUGCGUAGAGCCAGAGGCUAUCUUGUCCAGCAGGAGAGGUGGAGGCAGCAGAGAAGCUGCUCCUAGAAAACAGACCCCUGAGCCAACUCAGCACACACCUCAUUCACAUGCUGUCCUCUGAACACCAGGAGGUUUGGGAGGACUCUCUUCAGUGUCUGUCCCUCCUGGUCCAGCUGUACGGAGGAGAGCUCUGCGACUGCCUGUCGCCUUCCUGUUUGCAAAGCUUUUCACACGUGUUGCACACACACAUGCACGUCGAGACCCCCCGGAUCCAACGCACAACACUUAGGAUCAUCAAACGACUGGUGCAGACCACAGAGCGACCCGAUUGGUCAGAAUGUCCUGAAGGAGCGGCGCUGAUUGGUCUGCUGCAGGACAUAACGACGUCCAACAGGUGUCCAGAUGUCGCUCCGCUGGCUGCUGAACUCCAGAAGAUUCUGGAGACCAAAACAUUUCAUCAACCUUGAACUUUUAAAAAGAUGCUUGUGACGAG